rnacentral:lncRNA from 1 species
GAUCUUCCUAUUUUUUUUCUACGACACACACCUUUAUCUCCAUUUUCACCACACAUAACACACAUUUGCGUGUGUAGUUAGCAGAGAGAUCUCGAGAGAGAGAUGAAACCAGUGGAGAUUUGGUAUGCACACAUCACGAGAUUUAAACAGUUGUUCUUGGAAACAUUAUCGUCGCCAAAGUUGAAGAAGAUUUGAGAGUUAGGGUUUCAUUUGAAGACGAAGACGAUGCUGAUGGUGGUCGGGUCAGGUGUGGGUGGCGGCGUGGCGCGAUGGUUGUCGGAUUUGGUGGGUUAGCCGGAUUUGGGGGUGUACGGUUGUCGGAUUUGGUGGGUCAUGUGUCUAAUAAUUAACCAGAGUAGAGUCGGUUAAACAACAACAGCAACAUGAAGGAGCUGUGAUUCAGUGGGAUAGGUUUUUGCCUCUUAGGUCUCUCAAAGUUCUGCUUGUAGAAGAUGAUGACUCGACUCGUCGUGUUGUCAGCGUGCUGCUGCAUAAUUGCAGCUAUGAAGUGGUCAAUGAACUGAGAAAAAUCGAGAUAGUCUUAUUGUUGAAUGCUUUGUAUGUGAUACUGUCAAUUCCCACAUGCUUUAUAUGUGAUACUGUUGAUUCCCACUUGUAAUUUGAAUGAUACUGUUGUAAUUUGUAUGUUAUACUGUUGAUUCCC